rnacentral:rRNA from 1 species
UACAGAGGGGGCAAGCGUUAUUCGGAAUUAUUGGGCGUAAAGGGCGCGUAGGCGGCCAUUCAAGUGACGGGUGAAAGCCCUCGGCUUAACCGAGGAACUGCCUGUCAGACUGGAUGGCUUGAGACCGGGAGAGGUGAGUGGAAUUCCCAGUGUAGCGGUGACAUGCGUAGAUAUACGGAGGAACACCUGCGGCGAAGGCGGGUAGCUGGGCCAACACUGACGCUGAGACGCGAAAAGCUAGGGGAGCAAACGGG